CAGGAAGGAGAAUGACGGUACCUGAAGAAGAAGCUCCGGCUAACUACGUGCCAGCAGCCGCGGUAAUACGUAGGGAGCAAGCGUUAUCCGGAUUUACUGGGUGUAAAGGGAGUGUAGACGGGCGUGCAAGUCAGAAGUGAAAUCCGGGGGCUUCAACCCCCGAGACUGCUAUUUGAAAAUUGUGGGUGUUAAAGGAUGGAGGGGCCGGGGGAAUUUCCCAGUGUAGCGGUGAAAUGCGUAGAUAUUGGGAGGAACACCAGUGGCGAAGGCGGCCUGCUGGACAUUGACUGACGUUGAGGCUCGAAAGCGUGGGGAGCAAACAGGAUUAGAUACCCUGGUAGUUCCACGCCGUAAACGAUGGAUACUAGGUGUGGGAGAUCUUAGCCCGUUCGGGUGCCGCCGCCUACACAAAUAAGUAUCCCACUUGGGGAGUACUUCGGCAGAAUGGAAACUUCAAAGGAAUGAAGGGGGGCCGCCCCAAGCAGUGGGCUAUGUGUUUUAUUUGGAGCCAAGGGGAGGACCUUUCCCAGCUCUGGCCUUCCCGUGGCCGGCUCGUGAUAUAGCGUUUCCUUUCGGGCCGGGGAGGCCAGUGGGGCCAGGUUGUUGUUCACUUGUGUUGUUAGAUGGUGGGUUUAGUUCCGCCACGAGGGCCACCCUUAUCUUCUAUAUCCUGCAUUAGGUAGGUCCCUUUAGCAGAGACUCCCAGGGCCAACCGGGGGGAGGGGGGGGAGGAGUUCAAUUCUUCUUCCCCCUUUUGCCCGGGGUUCCCCACGUGUUCCAUUGCAGUCAUCCAAGGGAAGCCGCCACUGUGGAUGUGGGCCAAUCCCAUAAAAACUGUCUCAGUUCGGAUUGCAGUCUGCAACUCGCCUGCAUGAAGUUGGAAUCGCUAGUAAUCGCGAAUCAGCAUGUCGCGGUGAAUACGUUCCCGGGCCUUGUACUCACCGCCCGUCA
rnacentral:rRNA from 1 species